rnacentral:lncRNA from 1 species
AGGACGUCCCUGUGGAGGCCCUCACCACGGUGAAGCCGUACUGCAAUGAGAUCCACGCGCAGGCUCAGCUGUGGCUCAAGCGAGAUCCUAAGGCAUCCUACGAAGCCUGGAAGAAGUGCCUGCCUAUCCGAGGGGUAGAUGGCAACGGGAAAUCCCCCAGCAAGUCCGAGCUCCACCGGCUCUACUUGACUGAGAAGUAUGUGUGGAGGUGGAAACAGUUCCUGAGUCGGCGGGGGAAGAGGACCACCCCACUUGACCUCAAGCUGGGCCACAACAACUGGCUGCGGCAGGUGCAGCCUCUCAACGGGUCCCUUGCAUGUGCCCUCUGCUUUCCAUUCACUGUUCAGUCACUUCCUUUCAAAUAGAAGUCCUUAAGUGUGGCCACCAACAGGGACAGGCCAUCAGAGCUGUCCUCU